rnacentral:lncRNA from 1 species
AUCCAUGUUGUUCGGGACCAAAGUCUGUGAUUGGUUAUCUGGGAGAGACCGUCACUAUCAACUGUUCCUAUCCAGAGGAGUUUCAGUGUUACAGCAAGUACUUAUUCAAACGGAAGGAUAAUCAUUUACAUGAAGUGAUCAGAACCUCAGACUCUCAGAUAGACAGAUUCUCCAUCUCUGAUGACAGAAGCUCUAGAGUUUCAGUUUGAGAAUCAGAGAUGUGAGAAAAGAUGAUGGAGAAGUUUAUUUCUUUGGAUCGGCGAAGGGAGGAGAGUCCGUGAGUUACUCUACACUAUCACAGAGAUUCAUCUACAGGUUUCUGACUCUAAAGAAACACUCAGACCAAGAGCAACUAUCCAAUCAACAUCAGUGACGUACAGGAGAACAUCAACACCAACAGAACCAACAGUGACCAUCUCUACUGAAGAACCUUCCAGUAAGAACUCAGUCAUUACCCAGAAUUCCUCUUUCUAUAUUCUAUAUUCAUGUUAAAUGUGUUCAGGCAGAACUUCAGAGCUUUAGGCUCCACACCUGAAACUGGUCUGUUCUUUCUGUAUCUCAGCUCCAGGCUCCUCGAUCAUCACCAACAUUACCUCUGUGAGUAUCUGUGUGGUUCUGCUGCUGAUUGGAGGAUUAAUACUGAUCUACUACAAGCCUCAAGACUCUGCCUUCAUCAGUCAACCCUCAGGAACCAAUGAACAAGUAAGUUAAUGGUUAUCUGGUUCAUUUAACUUGCAGUGCAACCUAAACAUGGUUA